rnacentral:hammerhead_ribozyme from 1 species
AUCCAGCUGAUGAAUCCCGAAUAGGACGAAACACUCGUCCUGGAU